UGCAGGUAUGUUUUACUUCUUCCUGUCUUUGAGCCUGGGAAACUUGCAUCACCCGAUCAUCUUUGAUCAAUCAAAGAUUGUGAUAACAUGACUAAACAUUUUAUUACUGAAAGUUGUCAAGAAAGAAUUUAAGACAGUUUGUAAGUCAAAAUAAAACAAUUUAUUAUACAUAAAACAGUGUAUCUAGAAAACUGUAAAAUCAACAACAUGAAUGGAUUUUUUUUUGUGAAGAUAAGUAAAAUUACAUAUAACUAAACUAAAAAUCUCAUAUACAAGACUUAACAUACUGUUAUAACAUCUAAAUGUAUGUACAAUAUAAAACAAUUACAAGUAUGUACAAUAAUGGAAAGUUCUUUUAAGGCCAUGCUCAAUCUAUAUAGCUAGAGAACAGACUUCUAUAACUUAUUAUGAUCUGAUUAGGUUAGAAAAUAUUUGUUAACAUAGUUAUCUGCCUGGCAUUAUAGAAUGAAGCUGUCCUCAUAAAGAAUCAAUAUGGUCUUUAAAAGCCUUCCCAAUACAAUAGUAACAUUCCAGUAUACAGAAGUUUAAAAAAAAUCAUUAUAUAUUUCCUGAAAAUUAGGAGAUAACCGUAUUGUAUUUUAAGAACCA
rnacentral:lncRNA from 1 species